rnacentral:rRNA from 1 species
GAUGAACGCUGGCGGCGUGCCUAAUACAUGCCAGUCGAGCGAACGGACGAGAAGCUUGCUUCUCUGAUGUUAGCGGCGGACGGGUGAGUAACACGUGGAUAACCUACCUAUAAGACUGGGAUAACUUCGGGAAACCGGAGCUAAUACCGGAUGAUAUUUUGAACCGCAUGGUUCAACAGUGAAAGACGGUCUUGCUGUCACUUAUAGAUGGAUCCGCGCUGCAUUAGCUAGUUGGUAAGGUAACGGCUUACCAAGGCAACGAUGCAUAGCCGACCUGAGAGGGUGAUCGGCCACACUGUAACUGAGACACGGUCCAGACUCCUACGGGAGGCAGCAGUAGGGAAUCUUCCGCAAUGGGCGAAAGCCUGACGGAGCAGCGCCGCGUGAGUGAUGAAGGUCUUCGGAUCGUAAAACUCUGUUAUUAGGGAAGAACAUAUGUGUAAGUAACUGUGCACAUCUUGACGGUACCUAAUCAGAAAGCUACGGCUAACUACUUG